UGAACCUUUAAGACGGUCCAGAGAGGCCGGCAAGGUACGCAAUGAAAGUCUGUUUUUGUGCGACUUUGUAGCCUCUCGCUUGUGCGAGAGGCUUUUAUUAUU
rfam:Sporomusa malonica strain DSM 5090 genome assembly, contig: Ga0070592_109